rnacentral:rRNA from 1 species
UACGGAGGGUGCAAGCGUUAUCCGGAUUCACUGGUUUAAAGGGUGCGUAGGCGGGCAGGUAAGUCAGUGGUGAAAUCUCCGAGCUUAACUCGGAACUGCCGUUGAUACUAUUUGUCUUGAAUAUUGUGGAGGUAAGCGGAAUAUGUCGUGAGCGGUGGAAAUGACUUAGAUAUGACAUAGAACACCAAUUGCGAAGGCAGCUUACUACACAACGAUUGACGCUGAGGCACGAAAGCGUGGGGAGUCAAACAGGA